AUCCCACGGAAGUCAAGGGAAAGUGCGACAGCUUGUGAAGGAAAAAGUGUGGAAAUGAAAGUGGCAGGGUCCUCGAGCUCAGCUUUUAAUACAGCUUCAAGGGAUUAUCUUUCGCCUGAGCUGGCAAAGUUAAUAGAUCGAUUACUUGAAAUGAAAGUGGACCCGAGGACAGAGAAAGAAAAACCUAAUUACCCGAUGAACGAACACGCUUUCACAAUGGCGCUAUAACGAGGACCAAGCCAUGCAAAAUUCACGAGUCCCAUUCAACGG